UGACGCCGCGUGCGGGACGAAGCCUUUCGGGGUGUAAACCGCUUUUCUGUGGGACGAGCAAGGACGGUACCGCAGGAAUAAAGCCUCGGCUAACUACGUGC
rnacentral:rRNA from 1 species